UUUUUGAUUAAAAUUUAAAGUCUGGCCUGCCCACUGAUUAAAAAUUAAAUUGAAGGGCCGCAGUAUUUAUGACUGUGCAAAGGUAGCAUAAUCAUUAGUCUUUUAAUUGAAGACUGGAAUGAAUGGUUUGACGAAAUAAGAACUGUCUCAAUGUAAUUUGAAUUGAAUUUAAUUAUUGAGUGAAAAAGCUUAAAUAAAUUUAGAGGACGAGAAGACCCUAUAGAGCUUUAUAUAAGAAUUUAUAUUAAAUAUUAUGGUAAGUUUAACUAUUAUGAAUUACUAUAUUUUAUUGGGGUGAUAAGAAGAUAUAUAUAACUCUUCAUUAUUUAUAACAUAGAUAAAUGAAUAAUUGAUCCAUUUAGAAUGAUUAUAAGAUUAAGUUACCUUAGGGAUAACAGCGUAAUUUUUUUUGAGAGUUCUUAUCAAUAGAAAAGAUUGCGACCUCGAUGUUGGAUUAAGGAAUAUAAUUAGGUGUAGAAGUUUAAAUUAUGAGUCUGUUCGACUUUUAAAUCCU
rnacentral:rRNA from 3 species